ACUGAACGCUGGCGGCAGGCCUAACACAUGCAAGUCGAGCGGCAGCGGGAGGAAGCUUGCUUCCUCGCCGGCGAGCGGCGGACGGGUGAGUAAUGUCUGGGGACCUGCCCGAUGGAGGGGGCUAACGACUGGAAACGGUGGCUAAUACCGCAUAACGUCGCAAGCCAAAAGUGCGGGACCUUCGGGCCUCACACCAUGCGAUCAACCGGGGUGGGAUUAGCUAGUAGGUGGGGUAAUGGCUCACCUAGGCGACGAUCCCUAGCUGGUCUGAGAGGAUGACCAGCCACGCUGGAACUGAGACACGGUCCAGACUCCUACGGGAGGCAGCAGUGGGGAAUAUUGCACAAUGGGCGCAAGCCUGAUGCAGCCAUGCCGCGUGUGUGAAGAAGGCCUUCGGGUAGUAAAGCACUUUCAGCGAGGAGGAAGGUGGUGAGCUUAAUACGCUCAUCAAUUGACGUUACUCGCAGAAGAAGCACCGGCUAACUCCGUGCCAGCAGCCGCCGUAAUAC
rnacentral:rRNA from 1 species